rnacentral:rRNA from 1 species
UUGGUUCCGGCAUCGAUGAAGAACGCAGCGAAAUGCGAUAACUAAUGUGAAUUGCAGAAUUCAGUGAAUCAUCGAGUUCUUUGAACGCACAUUGCGCCCCCUGGUAUUCCGGGGGGCAUGCCUGUCCGAGCGUCAUUGCUGCCCUCAAGCCCGGCUUG